rnacentral:lncRNA from 1 species
CAUAGACUUUCUCAUUCAAAAUGCUCUCAGGGAUCAUUUUUGUUGAUUCCUGGUCUUGAAAAAUGAACUUCAUUUAUCCCACGCUCCAUAGGUGGUCAUCUAACAAAUUCUACAAUGAGAAAAUUUAAAAAGGAGGAAUUCAAGAGCUCCCUGUUAAAUGUGAAAUAGCAGCAAAAGCAAAGAGAGGCCAUCACCUGGGACAAUUGAUUCAUAUAAAAUUUGAAAAAGGGAAAUGAUACCAAGUCUGAUAUCGAGUUGAUCAGCCAAAAGCACACCAAGAACUGGGAGCAGACAAGUAUGAUCGGACAUUUUGGUGCCAUGACUUGGAUCGCUCUGCUUAGUGUCUUCAUGGAGUUUCCUGACAUCGCUUCCCAAAGAAGCUAUAUGCACUUGCAUCAUCACAUCAGGAAAACAUCCUAUUCAUGAUAGAAUUUCAC